rnacentral:rRNA from 1 species
CCUACGGGGGGCAGCAGUAGGGAAUCUUCGGCAAUGGACGAAAGUCUGACCGAGCAACGCCGCGUGAGUGAAGAAGGUUUUCGGAUCGUAAAACUCUGUUGUUAGAGAAGAACAAGUAGGAAAGUAACUGCUCUUACCUUGACGGUAUCUAACCAGAAAACCACGGCUAACUACGUGCCAGCAGCCGCGGUAAUACGUAGGUGGCAAGCGUUGUCCGGAUUUAUAGGGCGUAAAGCGAGCGCAGGCGGUCUUUUAAGUCUGAUGUGAAAGCCCUCGGCUCAACCGAGGAAGGUCAUUGGAAACUGGAGGACUUGAGUGCAGAAGAGGAGAGUGGAAUUCCAUGUGUAGCGGUGAAAUGCGUAGAUAUAUGGAGGAACACAAGUGGCGAAGGCGACUCUCUGGCCUGUAACUGACGCUGAGGCUCGAAAGCGUGGGGAGCAAACAGGAUUAGAUACCCGCGUAGUC